GGCUUGGUGGUGGAUGGUCCACGUCUGCGUCUCGUAAUACUCAUUUAUCACAGUAAGCAGAAGCAGCCUGUUCGAAUCAGGCCUGGGCCA